ensembl:lncRNA
GCCCCACUCGUCACACGCAUUAUGACAGAAACAAGAAAAUUUGAAAAAAGUUUACUUCAGUUGAUAUCAACAGAACAGUUUUUGGUUGUGUUGAUUUUUGUAUCUGGUGAUCAUUGUUGCUCUGAGAACCAGUUCCAGUGUAAAAAUAAGCACUGUAUCCCAAUUUCCUGGCACUGCGAUGGUGUGCAGGACUGUGCAGAUGGCAGCAAUGAGGAAGAAGAAAUCUGCUGAGAAAACCUGCAAGCCAGGACAGUUUCAAUGCAAAAACAGAUGCUGCAUACCACCAAUGUGUGUGAAGCACAGGAUGACUGCAGAGACAACUCAGAUGAGCCGUAUGAUGAGUGCAUGGGUCCUGAUCAUAAGUGUGAUGCAGACACUGAGUUCUCCUGCAAGACAAACUAUCGUUGUAUACCUUUGAGGGCUGUGUGUGAUGGUGCCAAUGACUGUCUAGACAGCAGUGAUGAGCAGAGCUGCCAUAAGUCCCAUAUGAGCUGACCUGUGACUAUCUGGUAGAUUUCGGCUGUGAUAACCAUCGCUGUACUGUGGAGAUGGAUCUGAUGACAGAAACUGUGAACCAAGACCUUGCUCUGAGAGUGAGUACUGCUGUGACAACCAGCAGUGCAUUCCAGGAUCUUGGGUUUGUGACCAUGACAAUGAUUAUGGGGACAAUUCUAAUGAGUGAGACUGUGGUCCUGGGCCGCUGCUCCUGAUGCCAGAGAACAUUUGCAUCUGACGCUACAACCUCCAGACAGAGGAGUACCAUGACUUUUUGCAGGAAGAGGAGCGCAUUGUAGCGCUGGACUGCGACUGGGACCACAACAACACUGGAGUCAGAGUACUCAGAAUACAAUGGCCAAUCAGAGGCAUUCAGAUGAGUCAUCAAUGAAACUCAUCAGCUUUGUUGAAUGCCUGCACGUUCGAUGACUGAAUUCCGUGGAUUAUCUCAUCAUAAACAAC